rnacentral:rRNA from 1 species
CCCUUAGAUGUUCUGGGCCGCACGCGCGCUACACUGAUGCAUUCAACGAGUCCAAAACCUGCUCUGAUAGGGGUGGGUAAUCUUUUGAAUGUGCAUCGUGAUUGGGAUAGAUGAUUGCAAUUUUUCAUCUUCAACGAGGAAUGCCUAGUAAACGCAAGUCAUCAGCUUGCAUUGAUUACGUCCCUGCCCUUUGUACACACCGCCCGUCGCUCCUACCGAUUGAAUGAUCCGAUGAAUAUCAUGGAUUGAGGAUGCAAGUAGGUUCGCCUAUCUUCAUCUUCGAGAAGUGAAGUAAAUCUUAUCAUUUAGAGGAAGGAGAAGUCGUAACA